AGGGGCGGGAGCAUGUCUCCCUCCUGGCUGACCAAAGACGGACGACGGGAGUUCUAGAGGCUGGGAAGUCCACGAUCAAGGUGCUGGCAGAUGGCAGAUUCAGUGUCUGUUGUUUGUUUUGUUUUUGGCCGCGCAGCAGGGCAUGUGGGACCUUAGUUCCCGACUUGGGAUCGAACCCGCGCCCCCUGCAGUGGAAGCGUGGAGUCUUAACCACUGGACCACCAGGAAAGUCCCUUGCCCACCAGUUUUAUUGAGAUGUAAUUGACAUACUAUUUGUUGUUUUUUAAAUGUGGUUA